GUGUAGUGUUGGAGCACCCCUGUUUUCGCAUUAGCAAUUCCCUGUGCCUCUCCUCCUCCCCAGGCGCAGAGAGGCACGCAGGCAAACAACACUCUAUCUGCAACCCGGUUACCACUGCGAGCAACUACAGCUUUUUGUUUAACUGUAUAAUUGCUCUCUCGGUGGGUUGUGGGUUUUCUUUUCCCCAUCUCCAUUUGUUUUCUUAAUAAUUAAGACCAGUAUAUUUAAAUGGUCCUUUUUUUUCUCUUUUUUUUUUUUUUUUUUUUUUUUCCUUAACAAGUAUACCGGAUGUAACAAGAUAGGCAGCUAAAAACAUUAAUCAUAUUAAAACUAAUUAAAAACUGAAAAGUUUCUGUGCAUUCCAAGCACUGGGGGUGGGAGGGGGCGGGGAGGCCUUUGGUCUGAGCACUGGCGUUUCCUGAGCGCAAGCAAAUGCCUGACACAUGGACUUCACCGAAUUCCAAAAUGUAGCAAAACAGUGCCUGCAUAUUUGGCAGGAAUCACCACCAGUUCAGCAGUGCAGCCCUUCUGGUCACAGCAAAAGCAGGAGUUCUAAGACAGUAGCUGCUUUGCUGCAUGGAAUGGCUGAGUAGCUUUAGACAAAACAGUGUCCAGGAACCUGCUGUGAACUUGUCUCUACUAGUUUGCACUGGGAACGACAGGUACUUUUGCUGGAGCUGCCCUACAGUGAGCGAUGCUGGGAGGAAGGGCAGGUUAGGAGAAAAGGGGUGCUAA
rnacentral:lncRNA from 1 species